UUCGGGGGACGAUAACGGCGUCGAGCGGCGGACGGGUGAGUAAUGCCUAGGAAAUUGCCCUGAUGUGGGGGAUAACCAUUGGAAACGAUGGCUAAUACCGCAUGAUGCCUACGGGCCAAAGAGGGGGGACCUUCGGGCCUCUCGCGUCAGGAUAUGCCUAGGUGGGAUUAGCUAGUUGGUGAGGUAAGGGCUCACCAAGGCGACGAUCCCUAGCUGGUCUGAGAGGAUGAUCAGCCACACUGGAACUGAG
rnacentral:rRNA from 1 species